rnacentral:rRNA from 1 species
AAUUUUGGACAAUGGGGGAAACCCUGAUCCAGCCAUCCCGCGUGUAUGAUGAAGGCCUUCGGGUUGUAAAGUACUUUUGGCAUAGAAGAAAAGGCAUCCCCUAAUACGGGAUGCUGCUGUCGGUAUCUGCAUAAUAAGCACCGGCUAACUACUUGCCAGCAGCCGCGGUAAUACGUCGGUUGCAAGCGUUAAUCGGAAUUACUGGGCUUAAAGCGUGUGUAGGCGGUUCGGAAAGAAAGAUGUGAAAUCCCAGGGAUCAACCCUGGAAAUGCAUUUUUAACUGCAGAGCUAGAGUAUGUCAGAGGGGAGUAGAAUUCCACGUGUAGCAGAGAAAUGCGUAGAUAUGUGGAGGAAUACCGAUGGCGAAGGCAGCCCCCUGGGAUAAUACUGACGCUCAGACAAGAAAGCGUGGGGAGCAAACAGG